GUCUUAGUGGUGGAAUGGUAGACACGCUAGUCUUAGGAACUAGUGCUAUACGCGUGGAGGUUCGAGUCCUCUCUAAGACA
rnacentral:tRNA from 1 species